UACGAAGGUGGCAAGCGUUGUUCGGAUUUACUGGGCGUACAGGGAGCGUAGGCGGUUGGGUAAGCCCUCCGUGAAAUCUCCGGGCCUAACCCGGAAAGUGCGGAGGGGACUGCUCGGCUAGAGGAUGGGAGAGGAGCGCGGAAUUCCCGGUGUAGCGGUGAAAUGCGUAGAGAUCGGGAGGAAGGCCGGUGGCGAAGGCGACUACCUGGCCUGUUCUUGACGCUGAGGCGCGAAAGCUAGGGGAGCAAACGGG
rnacentral:rRNA from 1 species